ACAUUGACGGUUCAGUGGUAGAACUCUCCCCUUCCAUGGGGAAUACCCAGGUUUAAUUCCCAGCCAGUGUA
rnacentral:tRNA from 1 species